UACGGAGGGGGCUAGCGUUGUUCGGAAUUACUGGGCGUAAAGCGCACGUAGGCGGCUUCGCAAGUCAGAGGUGAAAGCCCGGGGCUCAACCCCGGAACUGCCUUUGAGACUGCGUCGCUCGAAUCCGGGAGAGGCGGAGGGAAUUUCCAGUGGAGCGGUGAAAUUCGUAGAUAUUCGGAAGAACACCAGCGGCGAAAGCGGCCCGCUGGACCGGCAUUGACGCUGAGGUGCGAAAGCGUGGGGAGCAAACAGG
rnacentral:rRNA from 1 species